rnacentral:rRNA from 1 species
UUUAAAUUGAGAGUUUGAUCCUGGCUCAGGACGAACGCUGGCGGCGUGCCUAACACAUGCAAGUCGAGCGAUGCGAUCCUUCGG